ensembl:lncRNA
GUUUUUCUCUAAUCCUGCUGCCUCUUGACAUCGGAGGUUCACACAACUUGAUUUUCCUGUUGUUGUUUCUGUAUGUAUGAUAUGAUGUUUAUUUCAGUGUGUUUUAUCAGUAUUCACCAUCAAUAGACACCGAUGUCCUUAUAUACAACAGGAUACAAGGGAGAGAGAGAGUAGAGAUAGAGAGGAGAGAGUAGAGAGUAGAGAGAGAGAGAGUAGAGAUAGAGAGGAGAGAGUAGAGAGUAGAGAGAGAGAGUAGAGAGAAUUCACCAUCAAUAGACACCGAUGUCCUUAUAUACAACAGGAUACAAGGGAGAGAGAGAGGAGAGAGAGAGAGUAGAGAGUAGAGAGUAGAGAGAGAGAGAGUAGAGAGAGAGAGAGAGAGAGAGUAGAGAGUAGAGAGAGAGAGUAGAGAGUAGAGAGAGAGAGUAGAGAGAGAGAGUAGAGAGAGAGAGUAGAGAGUAGAGAGAGAAUCCACCAUCAAUAGACACUGAUGUCCUUAUGUACAACAGGAUAUAAGGGAGAGAGAGAGUAGAGAGAGAGAGUAGAGAGUAGAGAGAGAGUAGAGAGUAGAGAGAGAGAGUAGAGAGUAGAGAGAAUUCACCAUCAAUAGACACUGAUGUCCUUAUAUACAACAGGAUAUAAGGGAGAGAGAGAGUAGAGAGUAGAGAGAGAGAGUAGAGAGAGAGAGUAGAGAGUAGAGAGUAGAGAGUAGAGAGAGAGAGUAGAGAGUAGAGAGAGAGAGUAGAGAGAGAGAGUAGAGAGAGAGAGUAGAGAGUAGAGAGAGAGAGUAGAGAGAGAAUUCACCAUCAAUAGACACUGAUGUCCUUAUGUACAACAGGAUACAAGGGAGAGAGAAGAGUAGAGAGAGAGAGUAGAGAGAGAAUUCACCAUCAAUAGACACUGAUGUCCUUA